UACGGGAGGCAGCAGUGGGGAAUAUUGCACAAUGGGCGAAAGCCUGAUGCAGCUAUGCCGCGUGUAUGAAGAAGGCCUUAGGGUUGUAAAGUACUUUCAUCGGGGAGGAAAAAAACAAAACUAAUAAUUUUAUUUCUUGACGUUACCCGAAAAAGAAGCACCGGCUAACUCCGUGCCAGCAGCCGCGGUAAUACGGAGGGUGCUAGCGUUAAUCAGAAUUACUGGGCGUAAAGAGCACGUAGGUGGUUUUUUUAAGUUCAGAUGUGAAAUCCCUGGGCUUAACCUAGGAACUGCAUUUUGAAACUGAAAUACUAGAGUAUCGUAGAGGGAGGUAGAAUUCUAGGUGUAGCGGUGAAAUGCGUAGAUAUCUGGAGGAAUACCUGUGGCGAAAGCGGCCUCCUAAACGAAUACUGACACUGAGGUGCGAAAGCGUGGGGAGCAAACAGGGAUUAGAUACC
rnacentral:rRNA from 1 species